rnacentral:rRNA from 1 species
UACGGGGGGAGCAAGCGUUGUUCGGAUUUACUGGGCGUAAAGGGCGCGUAGGCGGCCAGGUAGGUCUGCUGUGAAAACUCGAGGCUCAACCUCGAGACGUCGGCGGAAACCAUCUGGCUAGAGUCCGGAAGAGGAGAGUGGAAUUCCUGGUGUAGCGGUGAAAUGCGCAGAUAUCAGGAAGAACACCCGUGGCGAAGGCGGCUCUCUGGGACGGUACUGACGCUGAGACGCGAAAGCGUGGGGAGCGAACAGG